UUCUGGCCAAUUGACUAUGGUCACAAAUCUAUUUCUGAAGUAUAAUAAUAAAAGAUUUAUGCAAUGGAUGAGCCUAAGUAUAUUAGUAUAUAUCAUAAAUCAAAAAACAGUAAGGUGUAGUGAGCUCAUUUGAGUAUGAAUUUUUAAUACAAAUUGAUUAUUAGAAUUAUUGCUUCCCAAGUAGGUAUAUAUCCGCUAACAUCAUUCAGAAGAUGUGGAGACUUGAUCAAUAUAUUUUAUGAUUGAAUAAGUGGAUUUCAUGAUUGAAAACCAAAAGUCAAAAAACUUUUUGAUUUUAAAAAUUGAGUUCAAAGUGUUUCAAAAUUGAGUGAAAAAAUAAUUGAGCUCCUCUCUAGCUGAACACUGAUUGUUUUAAUAGUUGUAUUCAAAAACCACUGUUUAAAACCAUGCAACCACCUCAAACUGGUCUAUUCCUAAAGUUUUUGUCAACCAAUUGUGUUUUUUCUUGGUUAUCAAACUCAAGUUUUAACUCCCAAAAACGUACAAGCUCAUGCCUCUUGUUCGAGUUGACUUGUAGAAUUGUAUUUAAGUGUUUGAGUGGGCUCAAUGUAAACUCCGGUGAACUUGUCCUGAGGUCGCAUCCCAGUUGGCGAGUUCAGCUUUUUUUUAUUAUUUGUUUAAUUGAAAAUGAGGCCACUUAAUGUCAUUUUGCUUGCAAAAGUAAGAGAAAAAGGAAGAAUGGGGUUCUUGGCAAUCCCAUUUCUUUGUUGCUGCUAGUGGAAAUUGGGGACAGCUGCUGCUCUCAUCAUUAUGCCAUUCUCUGUGUUGAGGCUGAAGCAAGCGGCAACAACAUUUUCUCCCUGCAGUGUUGUGGAUUCUGAAUGUGUUGAAGCUGCACAAUCAUUCUUAUUCUCUCUGCUGCGCACAAUUUGAAACUCAAUCUUAUUUGAAGAUAUUUCUCUCUUCUUAGAUAUUUUAAUUUUAUCUUAUUAAGAACUUAUAAAUGAGCUUAUGUUUUACUUGGUGUUGCUUUAUUAUUAAGGUUUAAUAUUUUGCAUUAUUAUAUAAUUAAAAUGAUAAAUCGUCAUGUUAUUUAUCGGUAUUUCAAUAGUAUCCUAUAUGAAGUAAACCCUUAUUUACAAUUCGAGUUUACAAGUGUACAAAUAUCUCAUGAGCUUAUUUAAGCUCUCGUUUUCAGCUACGUUUUUUGUUUAAUUUUUGAAGAGACAAUUUUGAACAAUUACUAGACUAUUUUUUUCAGAAGCUUAUAGUACACUAAGCUCUUCAUGAACAUGCAUAAAUCAAUGA